rnacentral:lncRNA from 1 species
UCCUUUGACAAUUGUGAACAUGGGGUGAAAUACUAGUAUUGGCUUUUUCUUUGAAAGUUCAACUCAAAUUAAACAUAUAUCGGCUAAAAGGAUAGAUUUCCAGAAGAUACAAAAUUGACAAGAAGGAAUUGAAUGAAUAAAAGCUUUCCUUCACCCAUUUACAGCCAAUUUCAGCGCCAACAAGAAAUAAAAACCCAAAUUAAUUCCAAAAUAUAAAAGUCCCAAAACAAAGUCCAUUUUACAAAAAAAAAAAGAAAAAAAACAGCAAGCCCAAUAUCCACAUUGAACAGCCCAAACCCAAUUAUAAUGACCCAAAUAAUACAAAACCCUAAAGCCGACCUAGCCCAACAAACUAAACAUUUUCAGCAGCAAAAAAAACUCAGCCCCCAAGCCUCAGCCGCACACCAGGCCAACCAGUGGCCGCCUCGCACACCACCACGCAUGCCACCUCGGCCACCACGCCCCUGACCGUCGCCCCUUCCACGCGUCGCAUGGCACCUGCAACAAGAACAAACACGACAUCAAAAGAAAGCAUGCGAAUGACAAGAAGAAAUAAAAAAAAGGAACAAAAACAAAAAAAGAAACGAAUGUGUUGGGGGAGAUCGGCUUUAAAAAGUAAAAAUCGAUCAUUUGUAAAAGGGGGAGAGGGCACGUACAUUUUGAAUCAAAGAAGAGAACAAAUAUCUAAGGUUGAUCUCGAUAUACUUUUUCGCGUUCUAUUCAUUACUUUGUUUUUACUGAUAUUUGAAUACAAACUCAUUUAAAAGAAAAGGAGGCAGACAUAAGAUCAAUUAAAAAGAAAAAGAAAGAAGGCCUCACCGGGAUUGUCUGAAGUUUCGUCACCGGGGUUCUUCUUCCGUUGUCGGGGUUGAACCGAAUGGGGGAAGACCGAGAAGGCGUAGCCUUCGGGGACGCCUUGAAAAGGGGCUAAAUGACCUCACCCAUUCGCGUCGUCGACCAUCGCUUGUGGUGUUGCCGUGGUAAUAGCGGCGAUGAUAGGUUUCCUAACCUUAGCCAAAGGAGAAAAAUAGGAAAGGGAGAAGGAGAGGGGGCAAAGGCCCUCUGUUUUCCUCUUUUUUUUUUUAAAUAUAAGCUGAAAUAAAAAAAAAAAAAGAAAAAAAAA